AAAUAUUUCAAACAUUGACAGAAAAUUGUCGAGUUCUUAGCUAAUGACCCUUACAGAUUUGUUGUUAUUUGUGAGUGAAUUCGGCAUUGGAAGUAUAAACACAGCCUAGAGUAAUCGAAGAAAAAAACCUCUAUUGAUGUUUUUAAGGAGGGUAGACUUCCUUAUAUUUUGUCACACCAAUGUAACAACAUAAUCCUUACCACCACGGAGAGCAUAGAGUGUUUUUAGUGUUUUAAAUAAUCAUAAUUAUCAUUUCCGCAUUCGCGGAAGUCUGCUACGUAUUACUUAUGUUUGACACAAACAACAAUAUGUGUUCUUUGUGAAUGGACGCC
rnacentral:lncRNA from 1 species